rfam:Schistosoma mansoni strain Puerto Rico chromosome 3, complete genome
ACCAUCUGACGAGUCCCAAAUAGGAUGAAACGCGUGUCAUGGAU